AACACAAAAAGCGUGGUUGGUGAAAGGGAGCGAUCUCUCCAAACUUUGAGACAGCGAAAGUUUCAGAGACGCAGAGUUUUGGAGAGAUGAGUGAAUUUUCUGGUUGCAGAUCGCCGACUUUGUUUCUAUUAUUCGCUUCAAUUUCUCUGCAAUUCUUUCCAGGCUUUUCUGAUGAUUCAUCUAGUUCCAAAGAUGGUAAAAAAUCUGAGAGUCGUUCUACUUCCAGCCACACUGGGUCUACAUUGGCCAUCAUAUUCCUUGGACUUGUAGUAGUUGCGUUGUUCUCCUUUUUCCUUUUCAAGCUAUGGCAAAAGAAGAAACGAGACGAACAGUACGCUCGCCUUUUGAAGUUGUUUGAAGAGGACGAUGAGCUUGAGCUCGAACUCGGUCUUCGGGAUUGAUGUACUGUUCGUUUAUAUUCAAGGGUUGAAAGGAUUUUGUAUUUGAAAAACUCUCUCCUAACCAAAAUGGAAGUUUGGUGUCUGGGGUUGAGGUUAGAUAAUUUCUGUCAAUUGUGACAUUUGUAAUCAUAUCUUCAAAUGUAAUCUUAUCCUUUUAUAUUUCGUUUUGUUUUUGGGUAUGAUAUCAUACCAUAUCUGAGCUAAAGAAAGGAUACUAUUUCAUAUGGAACGCUGAGGUUCACAGUCAGUGUGUAUAAAUGACCUUGAUUUUGAAUUCACCUGCUUGAUUGA